AGCAGCCGCGGUAAUUCCAGCUCCAAUAGCGUAUAUUAAAGUUGUUGCAGUUAAAAAGCUCGUAGUUGAAUUUCGGAAUUUGUCGGUUGGUCGGGCUUCACUGUCCGCACUGGCCUGAUGGAUUCCUACCUUCUGAAUAACCAGCAUGCUAUUAAGUUAGUGCGUUGGGGAAGCAGAGCUAUUACCUUGAAAAAUUAGAGUGCCUAAAGCAGGCUCACGCUUGAAUAGAUUAGCAUGGAAUAAUAAAAUAGGACGGCGUGGUUCUAUUUUGUUGGUUUCUAGGAUCACCGUAAUGAUUAAUAGGGAUAGUUGGGGGCAUUAGUAUUCAAUUGUCAGAGGUGAAAUUCUUGGAUUUAUUGAAGACUAACUUCUGCGAAAGCAUUUGCCAAGGAUGUUUUCAUUAAUCAAGAACGAAAGUUAGGGGAUCGAAGACGAUCAGAUACCGUCGUAGUCUUAACCAUAAACUAUGCCGACUAGGGAUCGGACGAUGUUAAUUUUUUAAUGACUCGUUCGGCGUACC
rnacentral:rRNA from 1 species